rnacentral:rRNA from 1 species
GAUGAACGCUGGCGGCGUGCCUAAUACAUGCGAGUCGAGCGAACAGACGAGGAGCUUGCUCCUUGGACGUUAGCGGCGGACGGGUGAGUAACACGUGGAUAACCUACCUAUAAGACUGGGAUAACUUCGGGAAACCGGAGCUAAUACCGGAUAACAUGUUGAACCGCAUGGUUCAACAGUGAAAGACGGUCUUGCUGUCACUUAUAGAGGGAUCCGCGCCGCAUUAGCUAGUUGGGAAGGUAACGGCUUACCAAGGCAACGAUGCGUAGCCGACCUGAGAGGGUGAUCGGCCACACUAGAACUGAGCCACGGUCCAGACUCCUACGGGAGGCAGCAGUCGGGAAUCUUCCGCAAUGGGCGAAAGCCUGACGGAGCAACGCCGCGUGAGUGAAGACGGUCUUCCGAUCGUAAAAAUCUGUUAUUAGGGAAGAACAACUGUGUAAGUAACUAUGCACGUCUUGACGGUACCUAAUCAGAAAGCAACGGCUAACUACGUG